rnacentral:lncRNA from 1 species
GGAAACUGCUCCAAAAUUCCCAAGUUCUGCCCCUGAUUUGUUAGGUGUUCUCUCUGGCCUCACUCUCCCCUGACUACAGGAGGUGGAAGGGGGCUCCAAGGGGGAAGACCAGCCCUGCGGAGAGCCCUGAUACUAUUUCAUUGGUAUUUAACAUGUUUCUAGCAAUAUGUCAUGUAUUUCAGAAAUAUUUAUUUAGUCGUUGUAACCACCCCAUAAGGUAGUACCAUCGUUUUUACAGAUAAAAGAAACUGCAGCAGAGAGAAUUAAGUGCCCAGGGGGGGAUUUGAACCCAGGAUGCCUGGCUUCCAAGACCGUGAUGUUCACCGCAGGUGCUGUUUGACAUAAAUCAGGCUGCUGGAUUCCGGGUUCCCUUUCUUGGGAGCAGCGCUGGAGAAGAGGGUCAGCGUCUGGCGGAGCAGGGCUGGCUUGCCACACUGACUGGAGAGGCCUGCCCACUCUGUCCUCCUGUUUCCUCAGCUGUGAAAUGGCCAGCAAGUGGGGUGACAGUGACGAGCCAUCUCCACGCAAAUACCAGCUCUGGGAGGGCUGAGCCGUCCUCCCCACUGUUGUAACCCAGCAUCUGGCCCAGUGACCAAAAGAUGAGGGCACUCAGUAUUUGUUGACUGCCCCAGGUCUGGGACAAUCCUGGCACCUGCCAUAUAACAAGCACUUCAUAGACGGACACACAUCAUCUUGAGUCUACAGCUCACGAGAGGUAUAGCUUCCAGCAAGUGUCUUCUUGUCUCUGAGCCUGUUUCCCGUCUGCCUCGUGGGUGGCUGUGAGGACUAAGUGAACCAAUCAUGGGAAGCACACAUAGCAGGGCCUCCAUAGAUGGUAUUUACUGAAGCAUCUACCAGAUAUGUAAAAGAGAUACUAUUUGGGUAAAUUUGAGGGCAAGAAAGGUAAAAAGGAAUCAGCUUG